rnacentral:misc_RNA from 1 species
UCCCCGUUACCGGGGCAGUCUGGCCAGAGAAAUACAACUGACCAUAAGGGUUGCGCUCGUUAUUGGACUUAACCAAACAUCUCACGACACGAGCUGACGACGGCCAUGCAACACCUGUCAUCGGGUUCCCGAAGGCACUCUCGUCUUUCGACAAAAUUCCCGAGAUGUCAAGCCCUGGUAAGGUUCUUCGCUUAGCAUCGAAUUAAACAACAUACUCCACCGCUUGUGCAGCUCCCCGUCAAUUCCUUUGAGUUUUAGUCUUGCGACCGUACUCCCCAGGCGGGAUGCUUAACGCGUUAGCUUCGUUACAGACAGGGUCGAUACUGCCUACAACUAGCAUCCAUAGUUUACGGCGUGGACUAC